UGCUUUUCCAAUAUUUUGCUCAUUACCCUUGCCACCUGUUGAUCUGUUGAGCCGCCACCUAAUUACUUUGAGCGAUGGCGGGUCGUCCUUUCUCUGCCGCGCAGAAGAGAUAGGAGCUGAAAGAGACGCUGAAGAGGUGGAUUGAUAGAGGUGUAUUCGUUUUGCCCACGUACAGUAGCUUUUUUUUUUCAAAGAAUUUCUUCAAAGUCAUUCUCAAUCUGUGCAUGUCACUGAUUUUGGGUUUGAGUAAUGCAGGCGUUGUUGAGAUUGUUAUUCAUUUUGAAGCUUAUGGAUUUUCAGGGGGGAUGAGCAUGGUAUCAAAAGAAAUUGACUGGGGAAUGUGCAACCAAUAAUUUUCCUUAAUCUGUUUCAGUUUUUGCUAAAUUCUGUCAUUUCCAGUGUAUGACUGUUAGUGAAUGCGAAAGUAGUUAAGAUUGUUUAGAUUUUAGGUCGUAUUAUAGGAAAUUAGGAAUGUGUUUUCAGAGCCUAAGAUAGCUCCUUAUGUGAGUGAACAGAUUUUUUUUGGGGGGGGGGGGGACAAAUUCUUUCUGAUGUAAUAGGAAAGCCUAUUUUCAAAAUGGAUUUGAUUUUUUCAGUGUGUGGCUAGACUCAAAGCUUAUGUGUUUGAUAUAUGGGAGAUCCCACAUGCGCGAUUAUAUGACUGUUCAUCAACUUAUAGUCUUGUUGUUCUUCAGAUUGUGUUUUUCUUUCAUUUCUGACAUACAUAAUACAUAGCUUUCCCAUUAUUGUUUAGAUUAUAGGAGAUGUUAAAGCAAUAGUAGGUUUAGUUAACUCAGCGAAUGCUUCAGAGUUCUGAUGGUGUACAGGGUUUGCUCAAUACAUAGUAUGAACGUGUUUGCUUUAACUACUAAAGCUUCAAGAUAUAGAUAGAAACAAAAUUUGAUUGCUUAUCUAUAACUAUCAACUAUGUUUAUCUUCCACUCUUUUAAUUUCACUUUUGAACAGAACCUCUCUUCUAUUUUUUCCCCUUUUGCAUGUGCGCAGUUGCAACUGCUAUGUUAUAUAUACAUAUGUGUGUGUAUCUAUAUAUAUAUGAAUAGCAGAGCUCUGCACAAAGCCAUUGGGUGCGGUCUUGGUUUCAGGUACUUUGAUUAGCAAUGGUACUUCGAAUCUAUGACAACUCCAAUAACAAAUAACCAUGACCCUUUUGCAUUUUCUUGAACCUGUGAUCAGUUCCUCUUAUUCUGUUUAUGUUUAUACUUAAAAUAACUGCUUACCAAAAAUGACUUCUCUGUUGCUGUUUCGUGGUCCAAAAUUCAAGUAUAUUAAUCUAUUUGAACAGCUCUAGAGUCUCAAUUUUAGCUGCAUGAGUUCAAUUUGAAUAGCAUUCUCCAUUCACAACCUGCUGAUUGUUUUUACAAACACAGAUUGCAAUGCUACUCAUUUGUAUUUUAUGAAUUUUUGUGUGCAUCUUUUCUCUUUGGCCAGGAACUUGAACUUUUAAUUGAGAAUCUCUUGGGUUGUGAGAUAAAAAAAAAAAAAGAUUUUUCUUUUUGUAAGUGUAUACCAUGAUUCUUCUGUCUAUCUCUGAUUCAUUGCUUUUGAUUAUGGGAAAUGGGUAUUUGGUGAAUUGUUUUUUGGUUACAGUUAGAAAUCAGGUAUUGAGAUUCCUGGGCUUUGUUGUCUUUAUUCACUGUGGCCUUUGGGUUCUAGCUCAACUCUUAAAAGGUUUUUCAAAUUAAUGCUGCAGUGAUGCAUGUUUGAUAUAAUAAAUCCCUGUAUUGAUUCUGAGGGUUCUUAUUGCAGGUUUCAUUUGCGGUAGUUGUAAUUAUUUCUUAUAUCAAUGCUGUGAUUUGGUGUUGAAGCAUCUUUCAGUCAUGCAAAAACAAAGGCUGAGGAACUUACAGUGGAGGUGAUACUUUAAACCGUGAAAAUAGGGUGUUACUUGAUCAUUGGACGUUGGAAAAGAUGAGGGAUGCUGAACGCCUCAAUGAGGUACUUUGUAUCAGUGUUAUAAACUGAAAUUGUGUGUUUGAUAGCAGUAGGUUUUUGCUGCUUAAGGUUUGAUAUAUAUUAACCUUAGUUGAUGGUUCUUGAUACCUCCGAAUUUUUGUAUUGGAUGACUAUGCCAAUCUAUGCUUUAUUGCAUACGUAAUCGUGCCGUUAUAAAUUUGAGCAUCGCAAAUGAAUAACAGUGCUUUACUUUGUAGGCAUGGGAUUUGACCUUUUUUCACCAGUGUUUAUAAUUAUUUGACAUAAAGCCUCUAGAAACCAAACCUAAGUGUAUCAAAGUGGUUAUUGAACCUUUCAAAAAAAAAAAAAGUGGUUAUUGAAAAAGGCCCUUACUGUCAUUGUUUCUCAUAACAUGGGACAUCUUGGAGUUCUAAUUUCUCAAUUAAAACACAUAUGUUUUUUUCUUUAAGUUUAUAUUGUUUUUAAAUAUGCCCUAUUUUGAAUAAAUUUCGGGAUGAAAUGAAGCAGCAAGCUAAGAUUGAGAUAUAUAAAAUGUAGCAAAUUUCCUGCUCUUUGUAACCAGUGGUAAGGCAUUAUCAAUUUUUGCUAACUAGAACGAUUUUGAAAAUAGUUAGAUUCUUUCUUACAACAGUUGAUGAGAUAAUAGAGAGAUAGCAUUGGUUGAGCGAAGACUAUCUUUUAGUUUUGAGCAACUAGGAAUGAGUACAUUUGGCUGGCAACAAUCAACAUAUUGUGUUGGACAUGCAAAGUUGUGUCCACAUUGUUCAUAAUGAAUUACUGUUUGUCAGCUCUGUUUUUGUUCUUUGUAUAUCUCCAGAUUCUGUACUAAUUAUGCUUGCUCGUCCAAGGUGACAUUGUCUUUGCAUCUGUUAUGGCAACUCUUGGACUGCAAAUAUUGCUCGAGUCUGCUUGAGAACUGAUCUCAAAGUCCCGACCAGAAAUGGAUGAUGGACAGGAGAAGUGGAUGAUCGCUAUCAUGGUCUCUGUCACAGUAGUGAAGUUUCUCCACAUGGUCUACUGUCAAAGAUUUAAAAAUGACAUUGUACGGGCAGGGUGAAUUUCAUUGAACCUUGAAGAUAACAGUAUUGACAAGGCAGGGUGAAUUAGUAGCUGGGCUAAAAUGUUGUCUGUUGAAAAAUUGGGAAAAAACCAAAAGAAUGCGAAAAGAGUCCACAUACUCUUUCGAUAAAUGAUCGCGUCAAUGAGCAUCUCUAAAAGGCAAAAUUUAAGUACUUUGGCUAAUUGUUGUAGUUAAACAUAUAUCAUACCCGCAACAUCGCGCUGGGGUUGAUGCCUAGUUACCAAUUAUCUUCUACAAGACUAUUUUGUCCACAGCAACUGUGACCAGAAAGAGUGGUGUGGGGGUAAAGAUCUUCCGUAGUUCCCUCCAAAUUUUCAUCAAAUUGUCUCACUGGUAUGUGCAC